GAUGAACGUUGGCGGCGUGCCUAAUACAUGCAAGUCGAGCGAAUGGAUUAAGAGCUUGCUCUUAUGAAGUUAGCGGCGGACGGGUGAGUAACACGUGGGUAACCUGCCCAUAAGACUGGGAUAACUCCGGGAAACCGGGGCUAAUACCGGAUAACAUUUUGAACCGCAUGGUUAGCAAUUGAAAGGCGGCUUCGGCUGUCACUUAUGGAAGGACCCGCGUCGCAUUAGCUAGUUGGUGAGGUAACGGCUCACCAAGGCAACGAUGCGUAGCCGACCCGAGAGGGUGAUCGGCCACACUGGGACUGAGACACGGCCCAGACUCCUACGGGAGGCAGCAGUAGGGAAUCUUCCGCAAUGGACGAAAGUCUGACGGAGCAACGCCGCGUGAGUGAUGAAGGCUUUCGGGUCGUAAAACUCUGUUGUUAGGGAAGAACAAGUGCUAGUUGAAUAAGCUGGCACCUUGACGGUACCUAACCAGAAAGCCACGGCUAACUACGUGCCAGCAGCCGCGGUAA
rnacentral:rRNA from 1 species